rnacentral:rRNA from 1 species
CCUACGGGAGGCAGCAGUAGGGAAUAUUGCUCAAUGGGGGAAACCCUGAAGCAGCAACGCCGCGUGGAGGAUGAAGGUUUUAGGAUUGUAAACUCCUUUUGUGAGAGAAGAUAAUGACGGUAUCUCACGAAUAAGCACCGGAUAACUCCGUGCCAGCAGCCGCGGUAAUACGGAGGGUGCAAGCGUUACUCGGAAUCACUGGGCGUAAAGAGUGCGCAGGCGGGUUUGUAAGUCAGAUGUGAAAUGCUGUAGCUUAACUAGAGAACUGCAUUUGAAACUAUGAGUCUAGAGUGUGGGAGCGGUAGGUGGAAUGUAUGGUGUAGGGGUAAAAUCCGUAGAGAUCA